UACGUAGGGCGCAAGCGUUUGUCCGGAAUUAUUGGGCGUAAAGAGCUCAUAGGCGGUUUGUCGCGUCUGCUGUGAAAACCUAAGGCUCAACCUUGGGCUUGCAGUGGGUACGGGCAGACUAGAGUGCGGUAGGGGGUGACUGGAAUUCCUGGUGUAGCGGUGGAAUGCGCAGAUAUCAGGAGGAACACCGAUGGCGAAGGCAGGUCACUGGGCCGCAA
rnacentral:rRNA from 1 species